GAUGAACGCUGGCGGCGUGCCUAAUACAUGCAAGUCGAGCGAACAGACGAGGAGCUUGCUCCUCUGACGUUAGCGGCGGACGGGUGAGUAACACGUGGAUAACCUACCUAUAAGACUGGGAUAACUUCGGGAAACCGGAGCUAAUACCGGAUAAUAUAUUGAACCGCAUGGUUCAAUAGUGAAAGACGGUUUUGCUGUCACUUAUAGAUGGAUCCGCGCCGCAUUAGCUAGUUGGUAAGGUAACGGCUUACCAAGGCAACGAUGCGUAUCCGACCUGAGAGGGUGAUCGGCCACCCUGGAACUGAGACACGGUCCAGACUCCUACGGGAGGCAGCAGUAGGGAAUCUUCCGCAAUGGGCGAAAGCCUGACGGAGCAACGCCGCGUGAGUGAUGAAGGUCUUCGGAUCGUAAAACUCUGUUAUUAGGGAAGAACAAAUGUGUAAGUAACUAUGCACGUCUUGACGGUACCUAAUCAGAAAGCCACGGCUAACUACGUG
rnacentral:rRNA from 1 species